rnacentral:rRNA from 1 species
UACGUAGGGUGCAAGCGUUAAUCGGAAUUACUGGGCGUAAAGCGUGCGCAGGCGGCUUUGCAAGACAGAUGUGAAAUCCCCGGGCUUAACCUGGGAACUGCAUUUGUGACUGCAUGGCUGGAGUGCGGCAGAGGGGAUGGAAUUCCGGCGUGUAGCAGUGAAAUGCGUAGAUAUGCGGAGGAACACCGAUGGCGAAGGCAAUCCCCUGGGCCUGCACUGACGCUCAUGCACGAAAGCGUGGGGAGCAGACAGG